GCCGCCCUCCCCUGACAGAGCCGGCGCCGCCCGCGGCGUCCUCCCCCGGCGCCUCCCGCGGCAUCCUCCCCCGGCGUAGCCCACGGCCACGCCCUCCCUGGUCGCAGCUCCCCCGUCGCGCACCUCCUGCGCAGCUCCCCGACGCGCCGCUCUCCUCCGACGGCCACCUCCGGGCGCACCUCCCCGACGCGCUGCUGGCCGCAGAAGCCUCGUCCGGCCGCACCGCACUGACCUGCCGGUCGCCAACGACGCAGCAGUGAGACCCGGCACCAACGCGCCGCCAUGCCGCAGUCGAGGUCGCCUGCUGCUUCCAUGGCUGGGAGAGAAGAAAUGUCCAUUCUUUAUGUGGAUGGAAGAGUGCAAGCAAGAAGUGGCAAAGAAGGUGAAAAAAAGAUUUGAAAGCUGCAGUUCGUGAGGCAAGCCAUGUUGAAAACGAAGAUGUGGGAGAAAUAAAGGGUCGCAACAGGAUUUAUGAUGAAGACAAGGCAGUAAUCAAGAUGGACAAAUAUGAACUCAAGAUGGACAAGCUUAUUGUUUUGGUGCAGUUGCUUGUGGUCCUCUGUUUAAUCAUGACUGUAAUAGUUCUUUUAGGUGUGGUAGUGUUUAUUUGCAAGUGAAUGUACGUGUUUGUUGGGUAUUUUAACGAUGCAAAUAAAUCCGCAAGCGUACGAAUACUGUUGUAGCUUUCACUCGUGAGCAUUCAAGGAUAUUGUAUCCACA